rnacentral:sRNA from 1 species
UCUAAAGAAUUAAGAAAUUCUACAGGGU